rnacentral:sRNA from 22 species
GAAAUUCCUCACGCCAGUGAGGUUGAGUUGGUGUAAUGGGGGACACCAACUCUCAGAGAGACGGCU